GUGGGGAAUAUUAGGCAAUGGGCGCAAGCCUGACCUAGCAACGCCGCGUGAAGGAAGAAGGCCCUCGGGUUGUAAACUUCUUUUAGCAGGGACGAAGGAAGUGACGGUACCUGUUGAAUAAGCCACGGCUAACUACGUGCCAGCAGCCGCGGUAAUACGUAGGGGGCAAGCGUUAUCCGGAUUUACUGGGUGUAAAGGGAGCGUAGGCGGUUCAGCAAGUCAGAAGUGAAAGCCCGGGGCUCAACUCCGGGACUGCUUUUGAAACUGUUGAACUAGAUUGCAGGAGAGGCAAGUGGAAUUCCUAGUGUAGCGGUGAAAUGCGUAGAUAUUAGGAGGAACACCAGUGGCGAAGGCGGCUUGCUGGACUGUAAAUGACGCUGAGGCUCGAAAGCGUGGGGAGCAAACAGGA
rnacentral:rRNA from 1 species